rnacentral:rRNA from 1 species
GGGGUGAAAAACCCCCACGCCGGAAGACCAAGGUUUCCUGUCCCAUGCUAAUCAGGGCAGGGUAAGUCGGCCCCUAAGGCGAGGCAGAAAUGCGUAGUCGAUGGGAAGCAGGUUAAUAUUCCUGCACCAGUGGGUAGUGACGGAUCUCGUGUGUCGUCAGUCCUUAUCGGAUUGAACUGGCGGCGAAGAGGUCCCUGGAAAUAGCUCCCACAUUAGACCGUACCCCAAACCGACACAGGUGGACUGGUAGAGAAUACCAAGGCGCUUGAGAGAACUAUGUUGAAGGAACUCGGCAAAUUACCUCCGUAACUUCGGGAGAAGGAGGCCUCAAUCUGGGCAACCAGGUCUGAGGGGCACAAAACUGGGGGUUGCGACUGUUUAUCAAAAACACAGGGCUCUGCGAAGCCGUAAGGCGACGUAUAGGGUCUGACGCCUGCCCGGUGCCGGAAGGUUAAAAGGAGGAGUGAGAGCUCCGAAUUGAAGCCCCGGUAAACGGCGGCCGUAACAAUAACGG